UUGUUGCUGGCCGCGCGGAGCAGGGGUCGGCUUAGCUCGGGGACUGAGGGGAGCUCCUCCUGCGCCGCUCACCCGGCGCUCGCCGAACAGGUCCAAGCGGCUGCCCUGGGGCUUGACAUUGAAGGCGGCGCCCACGGGAGACCAGCUGGUGCUGACCCUUCGGGCCCGGAUCCCGGCUUCGAGGCUUCCCCGGCCCGCCCGGCGGGGCGGCAGAGCUGCUGCUCUGGCUCCCAAGCCGCCCAGCCUUCCGACGCACAGCAUUCUAUCACCGGAGCAGUCCCUUCCUCCAACGCAGACCCCUGCCGGGCUGCUUUCGCUGGGAGCGCGCGCUCCGCGUUUCCAAGGCAGCAGCCCACGCCGCCCCACGUGACGGCCCCGCUUCCGGGUCUGGGCGCGGCCUCAGGACGUGGGCACGUUGUCGUCCAGAGAGCAAGAGCGUCGCUCCCCCUCGCCUUCUCGGCCGCUCUCUCGGUUUACCGCCCCCUGUGUCCAGAGAUCACAGAUGGAGAGACAUUUUGCCACACGAUUAAUCACACACCACACCUCAUCCCCAAGCUUCAGCUGCAGGACAAUGCCGCCAGAGGCCUGGUCCUCAGAGCUCACGAUCUUAUCAAAUUUAAUGGGCACAUCUGAAGAAGGAAACUUGCUCAGCACCGUGAGCCCCACAGUGAAAGCACUUUUUGGCAAGACUAGAGUCUCACCGAUUUUCCCUUUC
rnacentral:lncRNA from 1 species